rnacentral:lncRNA from 1 species
GCAUCGGAGGGUCCUUCAUCAAAAAACUCUGUGAAUAGCAUACUUUCUUUAUCUUUGAUGUUUUAGGAUGCCCUAAGAGACUCAUGAAAUGUGGAUCCAAACCUCUUUGAUAGCUUCUCGACUUCCAGCUAGCUUCUAAAGUCUUUGAGUCAACACUCAUUAUUUUUCAUCCUCAGCUCUAGUUCAUCAGCCUGAGCCAGAUUGACUCACAAUCAUAACAAUGUUGAUGAUUGUAAAUCCCUUGACUAGAACGAUGUAUUCCAAAUUUUCAAUAAG